rnacentral:rRNA from 1 species
AUGGAGGAUGACGCAUCCUACUUUAUGCUAGUGCUAGCUCUGGUUCCUCUUGUGUACAUCAUUCGGUUCUACUACCUAGCUUCCUCUCGUUGUCACAACCGUGGCCUACGGCUCCCUCCAGGCCCAUGGCAGCUACCUGUGAUCGGCAGUCUCCACCAUCUUUUUGGCGCCCUCCCACACCGUGCAUUACGAGACCUAUCAAGGCGACACGGCCCUCUCAUGCUCCUCAUGUUCGGCACGAACCGGCCGGUCAUCGUCGUUUCCACCGCCAAGGCUGCCAAGGAGAUGAUGAAGACGCACGAUACCACCUUCUGCGCGAGGCCACUGACCUCAGCUCUCAAGGCCAUUAGCAAGCAUGGCCUGGGGAUCGUCUUCGCCCCGUACGGUGACCACUGGCGACAAAUGCGCAAGAUCUGCUUCCUCGAGCUGCUGAGUGCCAAGCGCAUCGCCACGUUCAGCUCCAUAAGGGGAGAGGAGACGGACAGAUUCAUCCGGUCCAUCGUGGCAACGCUAGAGCCGGUCGUGAAUCUGAGCGAGUUGCUGGCGGCGUACCUGACAGACACAACGGUGCACAUGAUCAUGGGUGGACAGUUCACGGAGCAGGAGACCUUGCUCCGGCACGUCGACGAGGCGGUGGGGAUUGUAAGCGGCGUCGCCCUGCCCGACCUGUUCCCGUCGUCGAGGCUGGCGCGCGCUCUGAGCACCACACUGCGCAGUGCCGAGGUGUUCCGAGAGGCCUUUUUAGCGUUGAUGGGCCAUGCCAUAGAUGAUCAUCUGGAGAGCAGGAGGAGCGCUUCUUCCUCUGAACAAGUAGACCAGGAAGACAUCAUCGAUGUGCUCUUGAGGGUGCAGGGAGAAGGCAACCUUGAGCCACCCCUCACCAUGAACAACAUCAAAGCAGUUGUCUUCGACCUUCUUGCAGGGGGGACAGAGACAACAUCGACAACGCUACAGUGGGCCAUGGCAGAGCUGAUGCGAAACCCAAGCAUCAUGACCAGGGCGCAAGAUGAGGUCAGGGGAGCCUUCAUGGGACAAAACAAGGUCACUGAAGAGUGUCUAGGUGAGCUGAGCUACUUGCAAUGCAUCAUCAAGGAGACCUUGCGGCUGCACCCUCCUGGGCCGUUAGUACCAAGGGAGUGCAGAGAGCAGUGCAGAAUACUCGGCUACGACGUGCCCAAAGGAACCACCAUUCUCGUCAAUGUUUGGGCCAUCUCUAGAGACCCGGAAUGCUGGGAUGAGCCCGAAGAAUUCGUGCCAGAGAGGUUUGUGGCGAGUGCCAGAGAUUUCAAAGGCAACAGCUUCGAGUUCAUACCAUUCGGCACCGGUCGUCGGAUCUGCCCCGGGAUGCUGUUUGGGCUUGCUACUAUUGAGCUAGCUCUUGCAAGCCUUCUGUUUCAUUUUGAUUGGAGUCUCCCUGAUGGCACUCUUCCUAGUGAACUGGACAUGACAGAAACCAUGGGAGUGGCGGCUAGGAAAAAGGUGCCUCUGUGGUUGCGUCCAACUCCCCAUGUAUAUUUGCCUUGCUGA